rnacentral:lncRNA from 1 species
CAAGAAGAAAAACCUUGAAUAUACAUACUAUAAUAACUUAACAUCUGUUUCUCUGGGAAAUAAAGAGACCCUGGUGUUACAUAAUGUGCAGUCUUCAGACUCUGGAGAAUAUAAAUGCUACCUGGCUGCAGAGGUUGGAGGUCGAAAUGACCAUUCUUUAAUUGGAUUGAACAUCUCAGAAUGUUUAAAUAUGAGCACAGUUUAUCCCAUCACCACCACGAUCCCAGCUGAUUCCUGUCCUGUUGUAGCAGAAUUAACUGUUCCCUGGGCUGUCAUUGGCUUUUCUCUUAUCAGCAUGACCAAAGUCAUUCUUUGCAUUAUAACUGUGGGGGUGAGUAUAAUAUCAGUCCCAAUCAGUUGAUCAAAAGACCCAAAGAGAUUUCCAGGAAACAAACUGCACUGCAUUUUUCACACGAACAUCAAACAAAUUAAAUUAGUGCUUGCCCACUUGAUAUUCAGACCAUUUUAGAUUACUGUUCAAAAAUCUGAGGCCA